rnacentral:lncRNA from 1 species
AUGGGCUGGCAGCGCGUGGGAAGUGCUGAUGGGUGCUUUUCACGGUGUCGUUCCCAGGCUGGUCCAUCGCUGCUAGUGACCCUGCUGAGAGCGUUGCUGCAGAAGGAGCUCAACCCUCGUGGCGGUUUGAAAGCACCUGUGGCUCUUUGCCAUGUCCUUCGCAGGCUACCUGCUGCUGCUUUUGCAGGUGUCCUGUCUUGCAGCAGAAAUGACAGAGCUCUGGGCAGAGGAAGGAUCCUCUGUCACGAUGCACGCACCGGCUAUCAGGAACAUCAGCUUGGCCGAGUGGGAAUACAUAAGAGAGAACAUCCCCGAAUUAAUCCUGCAGUACUACGCAGAGUCGCAAAGCUGCGAGAGAUGGACAGUGGCAUCUAUAAAGCAACAGUUAACUUGAUGCAGGACAAAGCAACAACAACCACUCUUAGAGUGCUCAGUAAGUCAAAAUUGGUUGAAAGGAUGUUUUUCUCUGACCAUCAGUAGGAUUUGCCAUCAGUAGGGUGCACAGUUAUGCCUCCCCCUAAGUGGACUAGAGGAGGACUUUCUGGUUUCAUUACUGCCUUGAACGACAUGGACUGGAGACCCCAGAAGAAUUGCUGGGAAAUGUUGUAAUGUAUUCUGAGACUGAAUCUGGCUGUGGGUUGAGAUCUGGGUUGGGAAUCCAGGUGGCUCAGUGCCUCCAUUCUUGUACCUGCUUACUUCACCACAACCAGCUGCUCAUAGGCGGUGAAUGUCAUAAAAUGCCCUCCAGAGACAGGAUUUCUCACCAGGCUUUGCAGCCUCUCCCUUCACACCAGUAUUACCUUCCCCCUUUCCCUGCAGGACAAACAGAAACAAGAGCUCACCCUGGUUUGCAUUGCCCUUUCCUAGAGCUCAGCAGCACUGCAGGAGCACCCUGCAUGUAGGACAUCCAGGGAAGGAAGACUUCAGGAGCAUGUGGUUGCUACCAGGUGGAGGUCCAGAUGUAGCUAAGAGCAACCCCAAAUGGUGCAGGCACCCAGGUGCUAGCUGAGGGAUGGACUCUGACAUCCUUUUGCCGUGGCAUGGCUCUUCAGCAUUGCUCCUCUGGGCUUUGGUCCAUCUGGGGUUUGACCAGUGUAAAUGGUCAUAAUAACAGAAUCACAGAAUGGUUUGGAUUGGAAGGGACCUUACAGCCCACCCCUUUCCAACCCCCUGUCAUGGGCAGUGAUUCCUCCCACCAGCCCAAGCUGCCCCCAGCCCCAUCUGAGCUGGCCUUGGGCACCUCCAGGGAUGGGGCACCCAUAGCUUGUCCUGACAGCCUGUGCCAGUGCCUCAAUACCCUCGUUAUAAAGAUUUUUUUCCUUGUAUCUAAUCUAAACCUACCCUUUUUUAGUUUAAAGCCCUUACCCCUUGUCCCAUCACUCCACUCCCUGGCAAAGAGUCCCUCCCCAGCUUCCCUGUAGCCCCCUUUAGGUACUGGAAGGUUGGUAAAAGGUCCCCCCAGAGCCUUCUCUUCUCCCAGCUGAACACCCCCAACUCUCUCAGCCUGUUUCCAUAGCAGAGGUGCUCCAGCCCCCUGAUCAUCUCUGUUGUGGCCCUCCUCUGGACUCUUCUGAUACGUCCAUGUCCUUGUGCCAGAGCACCCCUCCACCCCA